rnacentral:rRNA from 1 species
AGCGAACGCUGGCGGCAGGCCUAACACAUGCAAGUCGAACGAACCUUUCGGGGUUAGUGGCGGACGGGUGAGUAACACGUGGGAACGUGCCUUUAGGUUCGGAAUAACUCAGGGAAACUUGUGCUAAUACCGAAUGUGCCCUUCGGGGGAAAGAUUUAUCGCCUUUAGAGCGGCCCGCGUCUGAUUAGCUAGUUGGUUGAGGUAAUGGCUCACCAAGGCGACGAUCAGUAGCUGGUCUGAGAGGAUGAUCAGCCACAUUGGGACUGAGACACGGCCCAAACUCCUACGGGAGGCAGCAGUGGGAAAUCUUGCGCAAUGGGCGAAAGCCUGACGCAGCCAUGCCGCGUGAAUGAUGAAGGUCUUAGGAUUGUAAAAUUCUUUCACCGGGGACGAUAAUGACGGUACCCGGAGAAGAAGCCCCGGCUAACUUCGUG